CAAACCGAGAAGCUAAGUUCACCUUCUUUCUUCUUCCCGUUUCUUCUUCAUUCUAUCUUUUUCUCUGUUCUUUCUUUGUCGAUCUGAGAAGUGAGAGUGAGUAGUGAUUUGAGAGACACGGUUGAUGAGAGUAGGUACUCGGUGAAGGUGAUGUUGUGGUGAAUCAGAAAGGAGAAGGGUUUGAGGUUGAUAGAGUUUCUGCUCGAGUUGAUGAAACAGAGAGAAUCAAUUUAGGGUUCUGGAUUUGAAUUUGGGUAUGUGUGAAACUGAUGAUGAUUUCGAGUUGAUAACGGAUGAAUAUCGAACGGGUUGUUGAUGUAUUGAUGAUAUGAAGAUGUACUGAAGACGAAUUGAAUAGUCAAAGAGCUAGGGUUUCUGUGAAGUCUUUUGGAGUUCGAUUUAAGUGGUUAUUAAGAAGAAUUAAAGGAUGGGUAUUGAAGAAUAUGAUGUGAAGAAGGUUGUUAUAGAUUUAAUUUGGGGUUUUGGUUACAAAGAAGAUCGAUUAAGAGAUUUGCAGAGUUAGGGUUCUGUUCUAGGGCUUCUGUGAGUUAAAGAUGAUGAUGAGGAUUGGUGGGUUGUUGGUGAUCUGAAUUAAGUGAAGAAGGAAUUGACUGCAAUUUCCUGCGUAACAUAUAUUUGAGGCUAUAAUCUGCUGUUUAUUACAACCUGAGCGGGACAGCCUGUCCGUACAUCUAACUUUAAAUUUUCUAGCA